CCUACGGGUGGCAGCAGUGGGGGAUAUUGCACAAUGGGGGGAACCCUGAUGCAGCGACGCCGCGUGGGUGAAGGAGCGUUUCGGCGCGUAAAGCCCUAUCGGCAGGGAAGAAGAUGACGGUACCUGACCAAGAAGCCCCGGCUAACUACGUGCCAGCAGCCGCGGUAAUACGUAGGGGGCAAGCGUUAUUCGGAUUUACUGGGUGUUAAGGGGGCGCUGACGGGAUUGCAAGCCAGGAGUGAAAGACCGGGGCCCAAACCCGGGACUGCUGUUGGAACUGCAUGGCUGGAGUACAGGAGGGGCAGGCGGAAUUCCUGGUGUAGCGGUGAAAUGCGUAGAUAUUAGGCGGAACACCGGUGGCGAAGGCGGCUUACUGGACUGUAACUGACGUUGAGGCUCGAAAGCGUGGGGAGCAAACAGGAUUAGAUACCCGGGUAGUC
rnacentral:rRNA from 1 species